AUACGUAGGUGACAUGCGUUAUCCGGAUUUACUGGGUGUAAAGGGCGUGUAGGCGGUUUAGCAAGUCAGAAGUGAAAUUCCCGGGCUUAACUUGGGCGCUGCUUCUGAAACUGCUUUACUUGAGUGCUGGAGAGGAUAGUGGAAUUCCUAGUGUAGCGGUAAAAUGCGCAGAUAUUAGGAGGAACACCGGUGGCGAAGGCGGCUAUCUGGACAGUAACUGACGCUGAGGCGCGAAAGCACGGGGAGCAAACGGGAUUAGAUACCCUGGUAGUCCGUGCCGUAAACGAUGAAUACUAGGUGUAGGGGGUAUCGACUCCCUCUGUGCCGCAGUUAACACAUUAAGUAUUCCACCUGGGGAGUACGGCCGCAAGGUUGAAACUCAAAUGAAUUGACGGGG
rnacentral:rRNA from 1 species